rnacentral:rRNA from 1 species
GCAUAUCAAUAAGCGGAGGAAAAGAAACUAACAAGGAUUCCCCUAGUAACGGCGAGUGAACCGGGAAAAGCUCAAAUUUAAAAUCUGGCUGUCUUCGAUAGUCCGAGUUGUAAUCUAUAGAAGUGUUUUCCGUGCUGAACUGUGUCUAAGUCCCUUGGAACAGGGUAUCAAAGAGGGUGACAAUCCCGUACUUGACACAAUCAUCAGUGCUCUGUGAUACAUUCUCUACGAGUCGAGUUGUUUGGGAAU